rnacentral:rRNA from 1 species
GUAGUGACAAGAAAUAACAAUACAAGGCAGUUAAAAUGCUUUGUAAUUGGAAUGAUAGAAAUUUAAACACUUUUUAAAGUAUCAAUUGGAGGGCAAGUCUGGUGCCAGCAGCCGCGGUAAUUCCAGCUCCAAUAGCGUAUAUUAAAAUUGUUGCAGUUAAAAAGCUCGUAGUUGAAUUUCUGUUAAAAAUAACCGGUCUGCUUUUAAUAAAAGUGGUAUCUUGGUGUGUUUUUAGCAAUAAUGUCCUUUGAAAUGUUUUUUACUUUAUUGUAAUAAAUAAUAUUCAGGAUUUUUACUUUGAGAAAAUUAGAGUGUUUCUAGCAGGCUAACGCUUUGAAUACUGCAGCAUGGAAUAAUAAAAUAGGAUUUUAGUUCUACAUUAUUGGUUUUAAGAACUAAAUUAAUGAUUGAUAGGGACAGUUGGGGGCAUUUGUAUUUAACUGUCAGAGGUGAAAUUCUUAGAUUUGUUAAAGACAAACUACUGCGAAAGCAUUUGCCAAAGAUGUUUUCAUUAAUCAAGAACGAAAGUUAGGGGAUCGAAGACGAUCAGAUACCGUCGUAGUCUUAACUAUAAACUAUGCCGACUAGAGAU